UCUUGUGUCUGGUAUCUAUGUUAUCUCAUAUGUUCACACAUGUGCACACACAGGCACACGGGUGCACACACACACACACUCGUGCACGUGCACCUCUCCUUCCUCGUUAUCCAGCUUGAACUGUUAGCCUGCAGAGAGGCAGCAGACAGGGACCCAGGAAGCAAGGGUGAAGAAGCUCCCACUUCAGAUGGGUUCUGAGACAAUUUUCCCCUUCCCUCAGGCUGAGAUACUCUGCCAUCUGUUUUGAUUAAACCUUUCAAAAUUCAACUUGUGUUUUUCCUUCCAUUCCUUUGAAAUCUCCUCUAAUUCAACAGUCUUUAGGCUUUCUUCUUUCCCUUAACCACCAUCUGGUGCUUCUAUUAAAAAAAAAAAAAAAAGAAAAGAAAGAAAGAAAAGAAAAGAAAACACAUACAACAAACACUUUGAGUUCCUUGGAAGAAAGGUAUAAUGAUGAGGAUAAUUUAUUCCCAUAGUGAGGCCCAUUACUAUUUCCAUGGCAACAGACUGUGAUGUUCUGAACAUGGGACUUUGUGAUCAUCACAAGAACAGGAUGGCAAAAGGCCCUGCUCAGACUCUUUGUCCUUGUGGAUUCUUCGGGGGUUCUGAAAUCCAGAUGAGGAAGCAAAUGAAUGUCACUAGCAUCUCCCAGAAGAAAGUAUAAAAGGAUCUUUGCCUUAAUUCCCUUAUCUGAAUCUGGUUCAAUGAGGAAGCUACCUAACAGUUGUAAAAAUUAAAGGAAGCCAUGUAUGGAUAUCUGAAGCUCUGAGCACAAUGUUUGGUAUGCAGUAAGUAGUCAGGAUGUUCGCAAUUACAUUAUUACUAUUAUCUCAUUAGCAUUAUUAUUAUCAUUAUUUUUGUCAUGGCAGAACAAUAGGCCCUGUAAGAAUGACUGAAAUUAGCAAGAAGGUCUCAUGACUCUGUCUUCAUCCACCAUGGCCUGCCUCCGUACACCCAUGUCUGCACAGUCAUUUCCUCCCAUUAGAUUGUAGGUUUUAGAUAGGGCUUCUGUGCCUUAUCUGCAGUUCUUUCUGUUGGGUGGACCCAAAACAAAGCCUUUCAGAGGAGAAGCCUUCAGUAAGACACUGAAGGGCUUCUCGAAAAUGAGCUCCAAGACUGAAAUAAGGCUCAAAAGCCUUUGACUUUCUUACCAUCAUUAAGAUGUUAAUUUUCAAUUGUGGCAUGUUGGCAGGAGGAGCCACUUUGUGGAAGGUUGUACACAUCAACAGGCUACUGUAUGGAACUUUUUGAUACCUUAGGUAGUUAAAACUUGUAAUGUUUCCUCAUAGGACAUAGAUGAUUCCCAGAAUAGAAGACAGAUAGCUCCC
rnacentral:lncRNA from 12 species